CAAUAGCGUAUAUUAAAGCUGUUGCGGUUAAAAAGCUCGUAGUUGGAUUUCUGUCAAGGACGACUGGUCCGCCCUCCGGGUGAGCACAUAGUUUGGUCUUGGCAUCUUGCUGGAAGCUGUGCUGUGCUUGGCUGUACGGUACAGGGUCCAGCACUUUCACUUUGAGGAAAUUGGAGUGUUUCAAGCAGGCACAUGCCUUUGGACACAGUAGCAUGGAAUAAUUUGAUUGGGCUUCUGCUCCAAUUUGUCGGUUUCUGGAGCUGAGGUUAGAAUUAAUGGGGAUUGUUGGGGGCAUCCGAAUUUAGCCGUCAGAGGUGAAAUUCUUGGAUUUGUUAAAGACGAACUACUGCGAAAGCAUUUGCCAAGGAUGUUUNCGUUG
rnacentral:rRNA from 1 species